CGAGUGAGUAACACGUGGAUAACCUACCUAUAAGACUGGGAUAACUUCGGGAAACCGGAGCUAAUACCGGAUAAUAUUUUAAACCGCAUGGUUCAAAAGUGAAAGACGGUCUUGCUGUCACUUAUAGAUGGAUCCGCGCUGCAUUAGCUAGUUGGUAAGGUAACGGCUUACCAAGGCAACGAUGCAUAGCCGACCUGAGAGGGUGAUCGGCCACACUGGAACUGAGACACGGUCCAG
rnacentral:rRNA from 1 species